GAUGAACGCUAGCGGCAGGCCUAAUACAUGCAAGUCGAACGGUGUCUUCGGACAUAGUGGCGCACGGGUGCGUAACACGUAUGCAACCUACCUUACAUUGGGGGAUAGCCUUUCGAAAGGGAGAUUAAUACCGCAUAAGACAGUAGCUGGGCAUCCAGCAGCUGUUAAAGAUUUAUCGAUGUAAGCUGGGCAUGCGUCCAAUUAGCUAGUUGGUGAGGUAACGGCUCACCAAGGCAAUGAUUGGUAGGGGAACUGAGAGGUCAAUCCCCCACACUGACACUGAGAUACGGGCCAGACUCCUACGGGGGGCAGCAGUAGGGAAUAUUGGGCAAUGGACGCAAGUCUGACCCAGCCAUGCCGCGUGCAGGAUGAAGGCGUUAUGCGUUGUAAACUGCUUUUAUACAGGAAGAAACGACUCUUGCGAGAGGCAUUGACGGUACUGUAUGAAUAAGCACCGGCUAACUCCGUGCCAGCAGCCGCGGUAAUAC
rnacentral:rRNA from 1 species